rnacentral:rRNA from 1 species
UACGGAGGGGGCUAGCGUUGUUCGGAAUUACUGGGCGUAAAGCGCGCGUAGGCGGCUUUGUAAGUUAGAGGUGAAAGCCCGGAGCUCAACUCCGGAAUUGCCUUUAAGACUGCAUUGCUAGAAUCAUGGAGAGGUUAGUGGAAUUCCGAGUGUAGAGGUGAAAUUCGUAGAUAUUCGGAAGAACACCAGUGGCGAAGGCGACUAACUGGACAUGUAUUGACGCUGAGGUGCGAAAGCGUGGGGAGCAAACAGG